rnacentral:rRNA from 1 species
UACGUAGGAUGCGAGCGUUGUUCGGAUUUAUUGGGCGUAAAGCGUGCGUAGGCGGUUACAAAAGUCUGGUGUUAAAGCUAGGGGCUCAACCCCUGUGAUGCACUGGAAACUAUGUGACUUGAGUGCGGUAGGGGAAGGUGGAAUUCCGAGUGUAGCGGUGAAAUGCGUAGAUAUUCGGAAGAACACCGGUGGCGAAGGCGACCUUCUGGGCCGCAACUGACGCUGAGGAACGAAAGCUAGGGGAGCAAACAGG